GUGAUCUGAUUUCUUGGAGUUUCUUUUUAAGGGUUUUGAGUGAUGGAAUGAUGCUCGAUGAGAAAGAUUUUGCUGCAUAAGAUGGACAAAAUUGAAAAAAGAGGGACUGAUGACACCCAAAUGUCAUUCUAUCAUCUUUGUUCUUGAAGAAGAUUUGGAUGAUAAGAAGAGACCUAUACCAGUGUAAAUGCUACUUUGGCCUCGAUGAUUAUAAUGAAGAUGAUGGGCAGAUAGCAUCCCCCACAAACGGUUGAUCUAUAUCUCCAACAUCCACAAAGACACUUCAACACAUGAACAAAGAAAAUAAACAAUGUCAAACCCAGAACGCCAUUUAUUU
rnacentral:lncRNA from 1 species